rnacentral:rRNA from 1 species
GACAAACCGUGCAAACGUUGUUCGGAAUCACUGGGCUUAAAGGGCGCGUAGGCGGUCGGCCAAGUCAGGGGUGAAAUCUUUCGGCUUAACCGGAAAACAGCUUCUGAUACUGGCGGUCUGGAGGGAGGUAGGGGCACGUGGAGCUUCCGGUGGAGCGGUGAAAUGCGUUGAUAUCGGAAGGAACGCCGGUGGCGAAAGCGACGUGCUGGACCUUUUCUGACGCUGAGGCGCGAAAGCCAGGGGAGCAAACGGG